rnacentral:lncRNA from 1 species
CUGACCAGCAGCUCUUGCAUGAGGCACCUACAGGCAGAGGAUUAGUUAGGCUUUCAGUUUCAGUUUCCCAGAAAGGAGGUGGGCUUUUUUUUUCACCCUGCUUUAAAAGCCCUUGGGCCCUUCCCAACUGGGUGCCAGCCAACUGCGGCUGCCUGGGACACUCCAUCUUAAGUCCCUGUGCCUCUGCUGUGUGUUACUGAGUGCCUAGGCCAUGCCAGCCUGUAUUCAUCUGUACCAUGACCUGAAGAGGCAGAGGCUAUCGUUGUUGGUCCGGUCUCCACCUGGGGAAACUGAGGUUACACAGUGUCUGUGUGGUGAUGAGCAGGGCUUCAUCCAGUGCCCCUGUCCCCACCGAGGGGACUAUGGGAGCCAUGGAGGGUGCGUGAGCAGCAGGUGAGACUGGAGCCAGCUGAAAACUGGGAGACCGACCCAGCCAACAAACAAUGUCGGUCUCUGUCCUGGCACCCGCAGGAAACAAGCUCCUACUUCCAGAAAAAGUGCUCCUGGGACUCAAGGAUACCAAGCAUCUGGGUAAGGUACAACGCUUAACCACUUAACACAAUCAGGAAGCAACAGCCACGCAUUUGGGAAAGGAACUUCAGCGUUGUGUGGCUCAGUCUCCAGACCUAACUUUCCCUUUGGUACAGACGCAGUGGUAGAUGCCUGUAAUCCCAACACUUAGGCAGGAGGAUCACUCGAGCCCAGAAGAUCAAGACUAGCGUGAGCAACAAAAUCCUUCCCUGGCACCGGUUCCAGGAGGACCUGGUUCUUAGGCAGCAUCUGUAUCUCUGUUUUGUAAGACACACAGUAUCCUUAACCCACUGCAGAUAUUUCCCUGGUCCAUGGUCAACCAACACCACCUUUCAGUCUCCAGCCUCUUAACCAGCCCAGGGCUGAGUGUUGUUCAUAGUAUUAAUAUGUUGCUGGCUGGGCUCAGUGGCUCAUGCCUGUAAACCCGGCACUAUGGGAGGCUGAGGCAGGCGGAUCACUUGAGGUCAGGAGUUCAAGACAAGCCUGGCCAACAUAGUAAAACCGCGUCUCUACUAAAAAUACAAAAAUGAGCCGGGUGUGGUGGUGCGUGUCUAUAAUCCCAGCUACUCGGGAGGCUGAGGCAGGAGAAUUGCUUGAACCUGGGAGAUGGAGGCUACAGUGAGCUGAGAUCAUGCCACUGCACUCCAGCCUGGUCAAGAAAGUGAGACUCCGUCUCAAAACAAAGAAACAAACAAAGUAUUAAUAUGUUCCCCUUGAUCAGUGGGGUGGUUCACCCUUGUAAUCCCAGCACUUUGGGAGGCAGAAGCUGGCGGAUCGCUUGAGUCCAGGAGUUCGAGACCAGCCUGGGUGACCUAGCAAAACCCUGUCUGUACUAAAAAUACAAAAAUUAACUGGGCGUGGUGGUGCGAGCCUGUAAUCCCAGUGGAGGCUGAGACAGGAAAAUCCUUUUGUAAUGCCUAACCUUGUUUUCUUACUAACCCUAUUUUAACCUUGUUUUUACUAACCCUAUUU